UCGUGCUAGAUGGGGAGGUAGCGGUGCCCUGUAACUUGCAACCCGCUAUAGCAAGAUGUAAUUCCUUGUUUGAGGCCGGUUUUCUUGAGUCCGGUCGGAUUAAGCGGUGUUGAUGAUUGGGUCUUACGCGACAAAAACUUAUAAACCCCGUCAGGUCCGGAAGGAAGCAGCGGUAAGUAAGAUUCUUUGUGUGCCGUGAGGGUGCCUGGUUGGAGCUGGCUGAUUCGGUACGUUUGGGAGAACUAGGUCGAGGCAAGGUGCACGG
rnacentral:SRP_RNA from 1 species